GACGAACGCUGGCGGCGUGCUUAACACAUGCAAGUCGAGCGGUAAGGCCCUUUCGGGGGUACACGAGCGGCGAACGGGUGAGUAACACGUGGGUGACCUGCCUUUAGCUCUGGGAUAAGCCUGGGAAACUGGGUCUAAUACCGGAUAUGACUCCAUGAUGCAUGUUGUGGGGUGGAAAGCCUUGUGCGGCUGGAGAUGGGCCCGCGGCCUAUCAGCUUGUUGGUGGGGUGAUGGCCUACCAAGGCGACGACGGGUAGCCGGCCUGAGAGGGCGACCGGCCACACUGGGACUGAGACACGGCCCAGACUCCUACGGGAGGCAGCAGUGGGGAAUCUUGCGCAAUGGGCGAAAGCCUGACGCAGCGACGCCGCGUGAGGGAUG
rnacentral:rRNA from 1 species